rnacentral:rRNA from 1 species
CAUGUCUCCCUGAAGCCCAAGACCACUUACUCCUUGAAGCUAAACAGGGCUGAGUCUGAUCAGUACCGGGAUGGGAGACCACAUGGGGAAACUAGGU